rnacentral:rRNA from 1 species
UGGGGAAUAUUGGGCAAUGGGCGCAAGCCUGACCCAGCAAUGCCGCGUGUGUGAAGAAGGCCUGCGGGUUGUAAAGCACUUUGGGCGGGGAAGAAGGGGGCUUGGUUAAUAACCCGGCCCUUUGACGUUACCCGCAGAACAAGCACCGGCUAACUCCGUGCCAGCAGCCGCGGUAAUACGGAGGGUGCGAGCGUUAAUCGGAAUUACUGGGCGUAAAGCGUGCGUAGGCGGCCCGGUCAGUCUCGCGUGAAAGCCCCGGGCUCAACCUGGGAACUGCGCGGGAUACUGCCGGGCUGGAGUGCGGGAGAGGGCGGUGGAAUUUCCGGUGUAGCAGUGAAAUGCGUAGAGAUCGGAAGGAACACCAGUGGCGAAGGCGGCCGCCUGGACCGACACUGACGCUGAGGCACGAAAGCGUGGGGAGCAAACAGG